AACGAACGCUGGCGGCAUGCCUAACACAUGCAAGUCGAACGAGAUCUUCGGGUCUAGUGGCGCACGGGUGCGUAACGCGUGGGAAUCUGCCCUUUGGUUCGGAAUAACAGUUGGAAACGACUGCUAAUACCGGAUGAUGACGAAAGUCCAAAGAUUUAUCGCCAGAGGAUGAGCCCGCGUAGGAUUAGCUAGUUGGUGUGGUAAAGGCGCACCAAGGCGACGAUCCUUAGCUGGUCUGAGAGGAUGAUCAGCCACACUGGGACUGAGACACGGCCCAGACUCCUACGGGAGGCAGCAGUGGGGAAUAUUGGACAAUGGGCGAAAGCCUGAUCCAGCAAUGCCGCGCGAGUGAUGAAGGCCUUAGGGUUGUAAAGCUCUUUUACCCGGGAUGAUAAUGACAGUACCGGGAGAAUAAGCUCCGGCUAACUCCGUGACAGCAGCCGCCGUAA
rnacentral:rRNA from 1 species